UGCGUGGUACUACAUGUACAGGAGAGGUGGGAGGCUUGGAAAACAGGACGACAGUUUUGGCGGAGCCAUCCUUGGGAUACCACCCUUGUAGUACUGGGACUCUAACCAUAGGCCAUGAAGCUGGUCUUGGGACACUGUCAGGUGGGCAGGUUGACUGGGGCGGUCGCCUCCCAAAAGGUAACGGAGGCGCUCAAAGGUUCUCUCAGUACGGUCGGAAAUCGUACGUAGAGUGUAAAGGCAAAAGAG
rnacentral:rRNA from 1 species